rnacentral:misc_RNA from 1 species
UAAUAAGUGUUUUAUGGCACUUUUUAAAUCCAUAUCCACCUUGUGUGCAAUGUCAGUCGAUCUUCUCCAUGGAGAUUGACCAAACAUCAACCUUUAUUUUUUAACCCUUUGUCUGAAAAAUAUUAUGAAUAAACAAUUCAAAAUA